GGACAUAGCUCAAUUGGUAGGGUGCUUGCCUCACAUGCACAGGCCCUGGGUUCAAUCCCAGUGCCA
rnacentral:tRNA from 1 species